ACGCAUCACUACCGCUAGACUUGUAAAACCCUAAUCAGUGGCGGCUCUCUCCCUUAAAACCCUAAUCUGCCGCAUCCACAUUUGUAAGAGAUGUUACAGCUCUGACACGGUGCCUCUAAUGGCAGGCGUUACGUGUAGAGAGCACAACUCCUUCUUCCCUUUCACACUUGUACCACUACAUUUGAAGAUUUCCCUCUGUGUGGAUUCAAUAUUUAGAAAUGAAUCCUCUAAUACUAAAUCCAACUUAGAGGUUAUUUGGAGGAUGUAUAGCUGUUUUGUUGGUCAGUCCCACAAACAAUAUUCCAUAGCUAUUUUGGAAUAUAGUCUUGGUACUGCCCAAGAAAAUAGCUAUGCAUGCCCAUCCACAAGACCUCUCACUAUUUUCAUACGCUUUAUUUUUUCCUUUGAUGCAUCCAGAUUGUGCUUUAUUAUGUGUUCACGAAGUAUCAAGAAGAUUCACCAGCUAGUGGAGAUCAGUUUUUAGGCAUAGCUCUGCCAGAAAGUUGCAUCUGAGACUUGAAAUGUAUAAUGAUUUGGUGUAUAUCUUAGAAUAUGAGAUUCCUUUUUUCAAAAAAUAAAUAAAUUUGGAUUUUCUAUGAGGCACCAAUUCACCCUGAGAAAGGUGUUGUGUCGUUAUAAAAGACUUCCGCUAUGUAGCUCAGGACAUUUGUUGUUUCUGUAAUCUGUCUUACUUUGAUAAACAUUUAUCUCAAUGUAUGUUAACUUUCGUAUACUCUUCUA